ACGAAUCUUAAAAAUUAAUCUCAUAAUGAUUUUACAGUAUUAAUAUUGUUUUACUUACUGUGAUUGUAAACAUUGCAGCUGUAAUGUCAUCUCUUUGCUGCUUUAACUUUUAAAUCUAUGUGUAUUUCUCCACUAGCUACAAAUCCCGAUAAUAUAAUGGUCACCCAAACACCAACAAAAAUACAUCUGUCAAUUGGAGACUACACUGAAAUCGCCUGUACUUGGGAAAAAAAAUCUGUUCAGAGGUAUAGAGUAAGCUGGCAUCUUGUUGAUAGAGAGAACAUCACCAAUACUAUAUCAACAAAACUUUGCUAUGUAUCCAAUAUCACCUGUGAAAGCAAGGAUGUGCUAGUGAUAAAAUCUGCAAAUGUAAAUGACACUGGAUUUUACUACUGUGAGAUAAUUAUUGAAAUACCUUUCUGUAAGAAAGUGUGUGGAAAUGGGACAACAGUGACUGUUGAAGAGAAAGAAGCUCACUCAUUGAAAAAGAGAGAUUUGGCAAUAUGUGCCGUCGUUCCUUUCUUAGUGGCAGUGGGAAGCUUGUGUCUUUGCUACAAAAAGAAACAGCACUCUAAACUUUCUGGUUCUGCACAGCUUCCUGUGCCGGCGGGAAGGCAUCAGGAGGAGCAGAUGCUCGAAACUGCAGAACUUUAUGGGAGAAAUGAAUCCACCAAUGAAACAGCUGAGGAAAACUCAUCAUGUAAUUCUGCUGAAUGGGCUGUGUCUACGCUUUAUGAAUCACUUGAUUCUUUUCUGAAUGAAUCAAGAGGAAAAGAUGACAAAUCCACGGCAACUGUGGUAUCCAGUGCAGCAGAUGAGGAAAUCCCACAAACUAGGGCAGCUGAAAAAGUCUAG
rnacentral:lncRNA from 1 species